AUUCAGCUAUCAGGUGAACCGGAUAUGUUUCGAUGGAAGUUGCAUCAGAAGGGCAAGUUUAUAGUCAAGUCCAUGUAUGAUGCAAUGGUCUAUAGUGAGGUUCCGGUUGAUAACAGGAAAUUGUGGAAGCUCAAGAUUCCUUUAAGGGUGAAGAUACUCCUCUGGUUUCUAAAUAGAGGGGUCAUCUUAACUAGAGAUAAUUUGGCACGACGCAACUGGCAAGGUAGCAAGCAAUGUGUCUUUUGCCAAUAUAACGAGUCUAUUACACACUUAUUCUUUGAGUGUAAGUUUGCUCGGACGGUCUGGGCCAUAGUUCAAGUAGCUUCGAACUUAUAG
rnacentral:rRNA from 1 species